GUCGUGAGAUGUUGGGUUAAGUCCCGCAACGAGCGCAACCCUCGUCCUAUGUUGCCAGCGAGUAAUGUCGGGGACUCAUAGGAGACUGCCGGGGUCAACUCGGAGGAAGGUGGGGAUGACGUCAAGUCAUCAUGCCCCUUAUGUCUUGGGCUGCACACAUGCUACAAUGGCCGGUACAAAGGGCUGCGAAACCGCAAGGUGGAGCGAAUCCCAAAAAGCCGGUCUCAGUUCGGAUUGGGGUCUGCAACUCGACCCCAUGAAGUCGGAGUCGCUAGUAAUCGCAGAUCAGCAACGCUGCGGUGAAUACGUUCCCGGGCCUUGUACACACCGCCCGUCACGUCACGAAAGUCGGUAACACCCGAAGCCAGUGGCCCAACUCGCAAGAGAGGGAGCUGUCGAAGGUGGGAUCGGCGAUUGGGACGAAGUCGUAACAAGGUAGCCGUACCGGAAGGUGCGGCUGGAUCACCUCCUUUCUAAGGAGCACCUGGCCAUUCAGCCUCGCGCUGGAUGGUCCAGAGCCAUGCUCAGGGCGUAUGCCCCUGGGAUGGUGCUCAAGGGUGGAACAUUGACCAGUAGGCCGACACACCAGUGACCACGCUCAGUACACCUGCUUCGGCGGGAGGAACGGCAAGGGAUCGGGUGGGUCAGCCCAGGCACGCUGUUGGGUCCUGAGGGAUCGGGCGCACGUAGCCCAACCUUCUUACGGGACCGGUCCUCGUCGGACGACACCUCCCUCCCUCUGCGGAGCUGCAGGUGCACGCGACGAGCUAGGGCCGGCACUCCGCCCGUACCUUGAGAACUGCACAGUGGACGCGAGCAUCUUGUUUUUUGUGGCCAAGUUAGUAAGGGCGCACGGUGGAUGCCUUGGCACCAGGAGCCGAUGAAGGACGUAGGAGGCUGCGAUAAGCCUCGGGGAGCUGUCAACCGAGCUGUGAUCCGAGGAUUU
rnacentral:sRNA from 1 species